rnacentral:rRNA from 1 species
GACGAACGCUGGCGGCGUGCUUAACACAUGCGAGUCGAACGAUGAAGCGGUGCUUGCACCGUGGAUUAGUGGCGAACGGGUGAGUAAUACGUGAGUGACCUACCUUUGACUCUGGGAUAAGCCUGGGAAACUGGGUCUAAUACCGGAUACGACCAAUCUCUGCAUGGGGUGUUGGUGGAAAGCGUUAUGGAGUGGUUUUAGAUGGGCUCACGGCCUAUCAGCUUGUUGGUGAGGUAAUGGCUUACCAAGGCGACGACGGGUAGCCGGCCUGAGAGGGUGACCGGCCACACUGGGACUGAGACACGGCCCAGACUCCUACGGGAGGCAGCAGUGGGGAAUAUUGCACAAUGGGCGCAAGCCUGAUGCAGCGACGCCGCGUGAGGGAUGACGGCCUUCGGGUUGUAAACCUCUGUUAGCAUCGAAGAAGCGAAAGUGACGGUAGGUGCAGAGAAAGCGCCGGCUAACUACGU